UACGUAGGGGGCUAGCGUUGUCCGGAAUCAUUGGGCGUAAAGCGCGUGUAGGCGGUUCGGUAAGUCCGCUGUGAAAGUCCAGGGCUCAACCCUGGAAGGCCGGUGGAAACUGUCGGGCUAGAGUCCGGAAGAGGCGAGUGGAAUUCCCGGUGUAGCGGUGAAAUGCGCAGAUAUCGGGAGGAACACCGGUGGCGAAGGCGGCGAUCUGGGUAGAUACUGACGCUGAGGUGCGAAAGCGUGGGGAGCAAACAGG
rnacentral:rRNA from 1 species